rnacentral:snRNA from 1 species
GUGCUCACUUGGGCAGCACAUGUACUAAAAUUGGAACAAAACAGAGAAGAUUAGCAUGGCCCCUGUGCAAGGAUGACACACAAAUUCAUGAAUAACACGGACUUAAC